UAUUUCUCUAGGACUAUGAAAUCAUUUAGGUUUUCAUGAAAGUCAUUCUUGGUUGAGGUUAAUGAUAGUUGUAAUUAAAAAUUAUAAAGAAGUAAUUUAAAGUGUUAUUCAAAUUGUAUCUUGUGAAAUAAUGGGGACUGAACAAAUUCUGAAGUAUGAUAUAAAACAGUGUUUAAAUUUGAUCGUGAUCGGUGAAGAUACAGAGGUUAUUGAAGGAUGGACUAGACUUAAAAAGUUAGAAAAUGAAUCUGUAUAUGAACAGUUAACUAAUUACGAAAGUAUUUUACGAGAGCUAUUGAAUGGUCGAAUAAAAAAUGUGCAGGAAGUUCCAAAAAUCCUGAUGUGGUUCGCAAAAUAUCUGCCAGAGGAAUCACUGAGUGCUCAUUUAAUUUCAAAUGACAUAGCAACAAUGUUAAGAAAUACAGAAAUUAGUGACAUGUCUCAUUUAACUAUGAUACUUCAAGUAUUAUUGGAUCAUAGUGUCUACUUACCAAAUUCUGUAAAUCAUACGAAACUCUGUGAAGCAAUUAUAAUUUGUUUGUCUACUUUUUCAAUGCCAUAUGAGCCAAAAAAGAUUCUGGAGUUCAAUGACAAUGCCACUAAAGUUCAAUUCUUUUUAAAAAUAGUACAAACCACAUCGAAAAGUAUAGAAAAUAAUUUAAUUUUCAUAUGCCUACAAACAUUAUAUAGAAUUAUAUCAGAUACUAAAUGGAAACCAGAUCCUGGACCAGGGUUGGCUGCUGUAUUACAAAUAGUGGAGCCUUCUAUCAUACCGCAAGCUGUAUUUUUGAUUCUUUUUGAAUCACAUUGUGACUCUCAAUUAACCCAAGCUUUAAAAGUUCUUUGUAGUUGGCUUCCAAAGUGGAGAGGUGAUAGACUUAGCAUUUGGAUUAUGGAAUUUAUACUUGGUUUAGAAAAGCAGCACAAAUAUUCUAUACUUAUGGAAGUUACCAAAGCAUCACUUCAUGCAAUGUUUUGUGCUUUAUCUGUACCUGUAGUUCGGCAGAAUGCUUCAACAAUUACAUUUUAUGUUUUAAAAAGACAAGGCCAUCCAUCUUUAUUUAGAAAUAUAGUACGUAAUACACAAAAUGUUCUGUCCCAUUUAAUGAAGGAAGAUUCUGAAUCAAGCAAGGAAUGCUUACAAAAUUUAGUUGAUAUUAUGAAAGUGCUUAUGUUAAGAUUCCCAGGUCUAUCUGUUUUCAACAAUUUAGAAAAUAAUUUACCUGUGCAACCACGAAUGCAUAUUGUUAAGAAACUAAAGAAUGAACAUGUGUGGGUUGAUGAAGUGGAAGAGAUUGAACCAAUAAUUGAACCAAUUAAAACACAUGUCCAAAAAGUUGGCCUUUCAAAUCUUGGAAACACAUGUUAUAUGAAUAGUGUGUUACAAGCACUGUUAAUGACCAAGCGAUUCUGUUAUGAAGUACUAAUGUACAAACCUGCAAGCAAAGCUGAAGAUCAAGUUGUACUUAAGAAGUUACAAAAUCUGUUUACUUUGUUGUUGUAUUCCAAAAGGAUUUCUUUGGCACCAACUGAAAUUUUACUGGCUUCUCGUCCUGCUUACUUUCUACCGGGUCAACAACAAGAUAGUUCAGAAUUUCUCUGCCACCUGUUAGAUCUUUUACAUGAGCAAGAAAAGUCUGCUACUAUCCUCUGUAUCUUUAACAAGGGUAAGGAUGAUAAGGAAAUAAACGACAUAUCGGUAAAUGAAGGAGUUAGUAUUAAGCGUUGGACAACUGAAGAAGACUUAAGCGGUAGCAUAACUUUAGGAAGAAAAACGCAAUCAUUAGCUGAUUUUACACAAAGAGAAGAUUUGGCACAAGUACAACAACUUAGUGAUUCACAUUCAGAUUCAAGGGAUAGUGGAAUACAAUCUGUAGGUGGAGAAGAUACGAAUACACAGGUACCUCUUGUACAUAGAGUUCUAGGAGGAAAAUGCAAAAUUACCUAUCAGUGUGCUCAGUGUGAUACCAGUUCUCAUAACACGGACAAAUUUCGGGACUUGCAACUAAGCUUCCCAGAAGAAAUACAAGAGAAUCAAGAAGUUUCGGAACUAAUGGUUGGAAGAUUCGCGUACGGAUUGAGUACCGGAUACGGAUACAUGUGCGUUACCGUGUACGUAGGUGAAAUAUCACCGGCUGACAUACGAGGGAUACUAACAUCUAUGUUGACUGUAUCCGCAAAAUUCGGCGUGUUCAUCGAAUGGACGAUAGGUCCGUUUCUUUCAAUGCGAAACCUGGCUCUCGUUUCAUCGGCGGUACCUAUUUGCUUCCUCAUCGGCAUUCUAUGGAUACCGGAAUCCCCGUAUCAUUUGAUGCGUCGGGGGAAACAUGGCCAGGCGGUCAUGUCCCUUAUGCAAUUAAGAGGAAGCGCGAACGUUUCCGCGGAGGCUGACAUUAUCGAGAAAUCCGUGGAAGCUGAUCUGGCUAAUGAUACAGGCUUCCGGGAACUUUUGGGAGUUCCUGGUAAUCGCAAAGCGUUAAUCAUAGUGCUGUGUCUCCUGGUGCUCCAACAAUGGAGCGGCAGUCAGGCGAUCCUGUCUUACGCCGAAUUAAUCUUCAACGCGACCGGCAACCCACUUGAAGGUAAAUACGUGACCAUAAUAUUGGGAGCCGUGCAAGUGGUAUGCACCGUACUUAGCACGAUCGUAGUGGACCAUUACGGCAGGAGGCCGUUGCUAAUGAUAUCUUCUCUGGGCACCUCCAUCUCGACUUUUCUCGUCGGUUUGUUUUUCUUUCUUCGAAGUAUUCAAGCGGACGUCAGCGAGAUCACUUGGUUACCAGCUACGGGAGCGACACUGUAUCUGGUCAUGUACGCUUUCGGUUUGGCCGCGCUUCCGUUCACCAUGUUGAGCGAAGUCUUCCCUACGAACGUUAAGGCUCUUGGGGGCAGCAUCGGUAUGUUUGUUUGCAAUCUGUGCGCGGUUAUCGUGUCGCUGACUUAUAAAGACAUUGCCGACCAGUUUGGUAUGCACGGAGCGUUCUGGUUGUUUUCGACUGUUAGUCUUUCGGGAGUCGCUUUCGUGUACUUUUACACGCCUGAGACGAAGGGGAAGACGCUGCAGGAGGUGCAGGAUCAGUUGCACGGACGUAAAUCGUUGUGAGAAGCCGCACAUUGUUGUAUUAUGUAUUGUUUGUUUUAAUGAGGUCCAUACUUCUCUGGAGAGGUUGUGCAUUUCUUUAGGGAGUAUGUUAACAAGAUAUAUGUAUAUGGUUAAUGGCAAGAUAUGUAAUCUUGUACUAGAAGACUAGAAUUUGACGAUGUAUAUAUGUUAUGAAUGUUAAAUGAAAGAUGUGAUAACAAUGAGAUAUUAAUUAAUGGUUCAUGUAUAUUUUGAUAAUCAGGCUUUCGGAAAUCAAGUGGUUUAGAUUACGUAAACCGCUGUCUGACCCACGCUGCUCGUUACUACUGAUGCUAAUCGUGCGCAAGCCAUUACUACUGACAGUAGUCAUUACCCGUAUGCGAUCAGACGUCGAAUACACGUGUCACGUGCAAUUACAUAAUUCUGGAAAUUAUUUAUUAAUAAACCGUGUCUGUUACGCACAAACGUAAUGUAAAACAAAUAUUCUUGUAAAUUUUUCAAAUCAUCCGAACAAAUUUUAUAUCGUUUUUCUCCAAAUUACAAAACAAAGCUGAAAAACAGGAACAGACAAGAGCUGUACAAAUUAAUAGUUGAAUGCGUUAUUUGUUCAAAAUAUUGUACAUAUAUUUGCUCCAUGAAAUUUCAGCGAACGAACUGGGCAAAGCAGGAUUAACAUUGGAUGUGGAAAAUGAAAUAUUGUUUGGUUGCUUGUAGCCGGUAUUAAUUAACAUGCAAACAAUCAAUGCCCGUUACCUGCAGUGUAAACUGCAAAUAAAUAAAUGCCGAGACCUGAUCGGCAUUGCACGUAAAAGAUGAUUACGAAUGCUGUUUUAUUUGUAUUUCACUUGCGCGCACUUACCGUCUGCAUCGAGAAUUCGUUUGUUAUUAAUCUCUUGUUCAGCAAAUACUCGACCUCGAUGUUAGAUUAAAAUAAAUCGUCGUGUCAUCGCGGAACGGAAUAAUACAUUUGACUUCAACGUGACUUACACAUUAAUUUCCUU
rnacentral:misc_RNA from 1 species